rnacentral:piRNA from 1 species
GACCACGAAAUGUCACUUAAACAUACGAGA